rnacentral:rRNA from 1 species
UAUCGUCUAUUUGAUAGUACCUUACUACUUGGAUAACCGUGGUAAUUCUAGAGCUAAUACAUGCUGAAAACCCCGACUUCGGAAGGGAUGUAUUUAUUAGAUUAAAAGCCAACGCCCCUCGGGGCUCCCUGGUGAUUCAUGAUAACUGCUCGAAUCGCACGGCCUUGCGCCGGCGAUGGUUCAUUCAAAUUUCUGCCCUAUCAACUUUCGACGGCUGGGUCUUGGCCAGCCGUGGUGACAACGGGUAACGGAGGGUUAGGGCUCGACCCCGGAGAAGGAGCCUGAGAAACGGCUACUACAUCCAAGGAAGGCAGCAGGCGCGCAAAUUACCCAAUCCCGACGCGGGGAGGUAGUGACAAUAAAUACUGAUACAGGGCUCUUUUGGGUCUUGUAAUUGGAAUGAGUACAAUUUAAUUCCCUUAACGAGGAACAAUUGGAGGGCAAGUCUGGUGCCAGCAGCCGCGGUAAUUCCAGCUCCAAUAGCGUAUAUUAAAGUUGUUGCAGUUAAAAAGCUCGUAGUUGAACCUUGGGCCUGGCUGGCCGGUCCGCCUCACCGCGUGCACUGGUCCGGCCGGGCCUUUCCCUCUGGGGAGCCGCAUGCCCUUCGCUGGGCGUGUCGGGGAACCAGGACGUUUACUUUGAAAAAAUUAGAGUGUUCAAAGCAGGCUUAUGCUCGAAUACAUUAGCAUGGAAUAAUAGAAUAGGACGCGUGGUUCUAUUUUGUUGGUUUCUAGGACCGCCGUAAUGAUUAAUAGGGACAGUCGGGGGCAUCAGUAUUCAGUUGCGAGAGGUGAAAUUCUUGGACCAACUGAAGACUAAC